UCUCAUGGACUUUCAUGCCUGAGCUGGCUUCAAACGGUGAUCCUCAGAUCUCAGCCUCCCGAGUAGCUAGGAUUAUAGGCCCGAGCCACCAGCACCCAGCCCAAUCUUAUCUUUCUGAGAUGUCUCUAGUCACCUGCCUCAUAACAAUGCCCUGUCCAGGGUGCUGUAAGCACAUAUGCGAGGUGGGCCCAUGGCACUGUGGCCUGGUGACCUCGCAGCUUGUGACGUGCGCACAGUGACAGAAUUGUCUAAUGAUGCUCUCUGAGUGCAUCCUGUUGCUAAGCAACAUAAACUGGUCCUGUACACAGAUCUCACAAUGCACAGGGUCUACACAGGAAGUGGGAACAUCUAAGACACAUAAAUCUACAUUUAAUGAGAGAAUCGGCAAACACUCUUCCUGGAAGGAGGGCAUGGCCAAAGGUUUAGAGACCAAUGUUUCAGUUGUGUAAAGGUGGAACCCGGCCUAAAUAUAAACUGCCAGAUUACUUAUAACUCAGUCACACAAAGAAGAGCCAUGAGGGUGGAUCCCAAGCCAACAGGGGC